AAUGAGUGUAUGUUCAGAAAUCUCCAAACUUGGCAAGUGUUUCAGCUCAGCCAAAAAUGUGAAGAGGUCAGUGAUCAGAUUGUUCCUCUUAUUCUCCUGAUGACAUUUCACAUCUCUGAUGGUGUGGACGUGAUUCAUGUGAUAUUCUAGCAAACAUACCAUUGACAUAAACACUCCACAACUGCAAGAGCUGCCUGAGAAUAAGGUAAGGAAUCAAUUGUAUGUUUAGUGUUUAGGUUCUGUUGUUUCUGUGCUCUCUCUUCUAACCUCACGUGUUCCUCCUUUUUCUGUGUGUGUUUUCAGGGGAGCAGAAGUGAUGGAGCUGGUGCUGUUUGAAAACAUGCAGAAGUGAGGUCAAUCAUGUUGGCAGAAAACAUGGUCCUGUCUAAUCUGCGCAAUGGAUGUAUUCUGUCAAGGAGGAAUUUCUGGACAGGGGUGAGAACAGCACAGUGAAGGUUUGUUGCAAUGGCUGUCAAGCAGCUCCUGGAAUAUGGAUGGAUGUUUGGCCCAGCUGGCUGUUCUUUCCUCCAGUUGAAGCACCUCACCAACCUGGAGGCACCCUGCAAGGAAAGAAAGGACAGCAUGAAGAUGAUGAUUGAGUAGAAUGACAUUGGAGUACUUGGAAUACCUGCAAUUUUCUUUGGGUGGUAGUUGUUGUUGUUAACAUCAAUAAAACGGAUUGUCAUGAUUUCCUCGUC
rnacentral:lncRNA from 1 species